UACAGAGGUGGCAAGCGUUGUUCGGAAUUACUGGGCGUAAAGGGCGCGUAGGCGGUUCUGUAAGUCCCGCGUGAAAUCCCCCGGCUCAACUGGGGAACUGCGCGGGAAACUGCGGGGCUUGAGUUCGGGAGAGGGAAGCGGAAUUCCGGGUGUAGCGGUGAAAUGCGUAGAUAUCCGGAGGAACUCCGGUGGCGAAGGCGGCACGCUGGACCCCACCUGACGCUGAGGCGCGAAAGCCAGGGGAGCGAACGGG
rnacentral:rRNA from 1 species